rnacentral:rRNA from 1 species
GAUGAACGCUGGCGGCGUGCCUAAUACAUGCAAGUCGAGCGGACGGACGAUAAGCUUUCUUCCUUGCUGUUAGCGGCGGACGGGCGAGUAACACGUGGAUCACCUACCUCUAUUUCUGGGGUGAUUACGGGAAGCCAGAGCUAAUACCAGCUAAUAUUUUGAACCGCAUGGUUCAGAAGUGCAACACGGUUUUGCUGUCACUUUUAGCUGGAUCCGCGCUGCAUUAGCUAGUUGGUAAGGUAACGGCUUACCAAGGCGACGAUGCAUAGCCGACCUGAGAGGGUGAUCGGCCACACUGGAACUGAGACACGGUCCAGACUCCUACGGGAGGCAGCAGUAGGGAAUCUUGGACAAUGGGCGAAAGCCUGACGCAGCAACGCCGCGUGAGUGAAGAAGGUCUUCGGGUUGUAAAGCCCUGUCAUUAGGAAAGAAAAGCAGUGUAUGUAACUGCGGCUGUCUUGACGGUACCUAAUCAAAAAGCAACGGCUAACUUCGUG